CCCUACGGGGUGUGUCCCGAUUGCACCGGCCUGGGAACGAGGAUCUAUUUCGACGAGGAUCUGGUGGUGCCCGAUUCCUCGCUGUCGAUUCGUGAAGGAGCGAUCGUUCCCUGGGAAAAGCGAACGUCCGUCCAUUUCCAUCAGAUGCUCGAAUCUCUCUCUGCCCAUUACGGGUUCGAUGUCAACAUCCCUUUCAAUCAGCUCUUGCCGGAGAUCCGGCAGGUUUUGCUUUACGGCUCUAACGGCGAAGAAAUCAAAUUCUAUUUCGACAAGGAUGGACGACGGCACUUCUUCAGCAAGGACGUCGAAGGCGUUUUAAACUCCCUCGACAGGCGUUUUAAGGAAACGACGUCGAGCGACAUUCGCUCGGAGUUGACGCGAUACAUGAAUGUCCGGGAAUGUCCGACCUGCAGCGGCGCCCGGCUGAAGCGCGAGAGC
rnacentral:rRNA from 1 species